UACGAAGGGGGGCUAGCGUUGCUCGGAAUGACUGGGCGUAAAGGGCGCGUAGGCGGUUUGGUGAGUUGGGGCGUGAAAUUCCUGGGCUUAACCUGGGGGGCUGCGCUCAAUACCACUAGGCUUGAGUGUGGAAGAGGGUCGUGGAAUUCCCAGUGUAGAGGUGAAAUUCGUAGAUAUUGGGAAGAACACCGGUGGCGAAGGCGGCGACCUGGUCCAUUACUGACGCUGAGGCGCGAAAGCGUGGGGAGCAAACAGG
rnacentral:rRNA from 1 species